rnacentral:rRNA from 1 species
CCUACGGGUGGCAGCAGUGGGGAAUAUUGGACAAUGGGCGAAAGCCUGAUCCAGCAAUGCCGCGUGAGUGAUGAAGGCCUUAGGGUUGUAAAGCUCUUUUACCCGGGAUGAUAAUGACAGUACCGGGAGAAUAAGCCCCGGCUAACUCCGUGCCAGCAGCCGCGGUAAUACGGAGGGGGCUAGCGUUGUUCGGAAUUACUGGGCGUAAAGCGCGCGUAGGCGGCUUCGCAAGUCAGAGGUGAAAGCCCGGGGCUCAACCCCGGAAUUGCCUUUGAGACUGCGUCGCUAGAAUCCGGGAGAGGUGAGUGGAAUUCCGAGUGUAGAGGUGAAAUUCGUAGAUAUUCGGAAGAACACCAGUGGCGAAGGCGGCUCACUGGACCGGCAUUGACGCUGAGGCGCGAAAGCGUGGGGAGCAAACAGGAUUAGAUACCCUUGUAGUC